UACGUAGGGGGCAAGCGUUGUCCGGAUUUAUUGGGCGUAAAGCGCGUGUAGGCGGCCAGGUAGGUCCGCUGUGAAAACUCGAGGCUCAACCUCGAGACGCCGAUGGAAACCAUCUGACUAGAGUCCGGAAGAGGAGAGUGGAAUUCCUGGUGUAGCGGUGAAAUGCGCAGAUAUCAGGAAGAACACCCGUGGCUAAGGCGGCUCUCUAGUACGGUACUGACGCUGAGACGCGAAAGCGUGGGGAGCGAACAGG
rnacentral:rRNA from 1 species